rnacentral:rRNA from 1 species
CCUACGGGUGGCAGCAGUCGAGAAUUUUUCUCAAUGGGGGAAACCCUGAAGGAGCGACGCCGCGUGGAGGAUGAAGGUCUUCGGAUUGUAAACUCCUGUCAUUAGUGAACUAGUAACUGAAGAGGAAGAGGCGGCAAACUCUGUGCCAGCAGCCGCGGUAAUACAGAGGCCUCAAGCGUUGUUCGGAUUUAUUGGGCGUAAAGGGUGCGUAGGCGGUACCGAAAGUUAGGUGUGAAAGUUCGAGGCUCAACCUCAAAUUGCACCUAAUACUCCGGUGCUUGAGUCUCAUAGAGGAAUCUGGAAUUCACGGUGUAGCAGUGAAAUGCGUAGAUAUCGUGAAGAAGGCCUGUGGCGAAAGCAAGAUUCUGGUGCGACUGACGCUGAGGCACGAAAGCCAGGGGAGCAAACGGGAUUAGAUACCCUAGUAGUC